rnacentral:rRNA from 1 species
GAAUCCGCUAAGGAGUGUGUAACAACUCACCUGCCGAAUGAAUUAGCCCUGAAAAUGGAUGGCGCUAAAGCGGGUAGCCGACACCAUGCCGUCUGUUUAAUAGAUAACAGAUGAGUAGGAGGGCGUGGUGGCCGUAUCGAAGCAUGCGUGCGAACGCGUGUGGAACGGCCACUAGUGCAGAUCUUGGUGGUAGUAGCAAAUAUUCAAGCGAGAUCCUUGAAGGGCGAAGCGGGGAAGGGUUCCACGCGAACAUUGGUUGGGCGUGGGUGAGUCGUUCCUAAGCCGAGUGGCCAUUGCUAAAUAAUCGGCGAAAGGGAAGCGGGUUGAAAUUCCCGCACACGGAUGUGGAGGCGGCGACGCUUUAUUGAGACGAAGACGCUGGCGGUGGCGCUGGGCAGAGAUGUCUUUUCUGUUUAACCAUUAUCAAGCUGUGUGGAAUCCGCUUGUCGGGAGAAACACGCCUGAAAGGGAAGAGCGCCGGGCUUUUUCCGGCGUCCAGCUCGCCACCGACGGCCCUUGAAAAUUUGUCUGAUGGUAAAAUCCACGCCGUGGCGUACCGAUAACCGCAUCAGGUCCCCAAGGUGAACAGCCUCUGUCCAAUAUGAACAAUGCAGGUAAGGGAAGUCGGCA